GAUGAACGCUGGCGGCGUGCCUAACACAUGCAAGUCGAGCGAUUUACUUCGGUAAAGAGCGGCGGACGGGUGAGUAACGCGUGGGUAAUCUGCCCUGUACACACGGAUAACAUACCGAAAGGUAUGCUAAUACGAGAUAAUAUACUUUUAUCGCAUGGUAGAAGUAUCAAAGCUCCGGCGGUACAGGAUGGACCCGCGUCUGAUUAGCUAGUUGGUAAGGUAACGGCUUACCAAGGCGACGAUCAGUAGCCGACCUGAGAGGGUGAUCGGCCACAUUGGAACUGAGACACGGUCCAACCUCCUACGGGAGGCAGCAGUGGGGAAUAUUGCACAAUGGGCGAAAGCCUGAUGCAGCAACGCCGCGUGAGCGAUGAAGGCCUUCGGGUCGUAAAGCUCUGUCCUCAAGGAAGAUAAUGACGGUACUUGAGGAGGAAGCCCCGGCUAACUACGUGCCAGCCGCCGCCGUAAAAC
rnacentral:rRNA from 1 species